GCGAAACAUCGCGGACGAUUGCUUUAUGUAUAUUGAAUUUCAUUGCUAUAUGGAUGUUGAAGUUGAAUCAAUUAAAAAACAAUUUCAAAUCAAGUAACUGCAAUUACCUCUGUGGGAUUUGCAUCUAUGUAAAUUGUUUUUACUGGUUUAAAUAACUAAAUAUAUUUCAUGUUGUUCAGUUUAGAUGUCUUAAUUAAUAGCUGCGUCAUUGUUUACAUAUUCAUAUCACACAUCAUGUGGCGAUUUUUGAAAAGUUACAAGUUACAGAACAGAUUAUUUCCGUAACUUUGAUUAAGUGCGUUUACUGAAGAAUUGUAUGUAUGCACGCCAUCAUACAAAUAAAUGAUUUAAAACAAUUUUAAAACGUUACAAACGUGUUAAUACUUAAUAGAACGAAAGAUUUGAUAUACAAAUACAUGUUUCGGACAUUUGGAACUGUUUCGUUUAUCAACGUAAUAACAACGAUUUUUCCUUUGGUCUUUACUCAGGAUUACUGUAUUUCUUGUAAUAUACAAACAUUUCGUCCUCUCUUUGAAAAAUACUAAUGUUUCAAAUGGUGUCAUACCAUCAUAGUGAUAUUGAAUAAAUGACAUUGUAUUUAGUAGAGUGAAAAUCGUAUCAUUAGGAAUAAACUUGUUGACCCGGAGGGUGUAAUUGUUUUCUACAUUUAAUUAUAUGUUUAGUUUUGUAGAGAAACAAUUUAUUCGUAUCCCCAAAAUACUCACAACAUACUGUAUCAUUGCAGUGUAUAAUAAUGUACUAUUAAGUCAUUUAUACUGAAUUAAGAAAAUUGCAUUCCCUUCGCUUGAUAGUUUACUUAUGAUUACCUCUGCAGUAGUAAUAAUUAUGAACACAACAAGAUAAUUUUAAUUAUUUUCACAGCAUUCACAGUAACCGAUGAUCACUAUCCCCCUAUUACGAGCCCCUCCUUCAGUUGUCUUGGUAGAAAGCUUCACUAAUGUCCAAUAUUUAUGCAUAUUUUUUCUACAACUAUUCUGUACCUUUAUAACUACAAUUUUCAUUAUUUUUACAGAUUUCACAGUCACCUAUCAUCGCCGCUCCCCUACGACCCUCUCUUUUAGUUGUCUUGCCACAAUUUCGGAUUUAACCGUCACCGAUAAUUUUCGCCACUCUACGAGCAUCCCUUUAACUUGUCCUGUCACAGUUUUUGAUUUCACAGUCAGAGAUAAUUUUCGCCACUCUACUAGCAUCCCUUUAA